UAUUGGUCCUCCCGCAAUGAUAAAUUGUGAACUCCGCCAGGCCCGGAAGGGAGCAACGGUAACGAUCGACUCAUGUGCCGGGAUGUGCUGGUAGGA
rnacentral:SRP_RNA from 1 species